rnacentral:piRNA from 1 species
UGGAUUGAUUGCAAAAUGGGCUAAGUGGC